UUGCUCACUUUGGUAGCACAUUUACUAAAAUUGGAACGAUACAGAGAAGAUUAGCAUGGCCCCUGCACAAGGAUGACAUGCAAAUAUGUGACGCAUUCCACAUUUUA
ensembl:snRNA U6 U6 spliceosomal RNA